UACGUAGGUGGCAAGCGUUACCCGGAUUUACUGGGUGUAAAGGGCGUGUAGGCGGGACUGCAAGUCAGAUGUGAAAACCAUGGGCUCAACCUGUGGCCUGCAUUUGAAACUGUAGUUCUUGAGUACUGGAGAGGCAGACGGAAUUCCUAGUGUAGCGGUGAAAUGCGUAGAUAUUAGGAGGAACACCAGUGGCGAAGGCGGCUUACUGGACGGCAACUGACGCUGAGGCUCGAAAGCGUGGGGAGCAAACAGG
rnacentral:rRNA from 1 species